rnacentral:rRNA from 2 species
UUAGGUUAAGUUAUGAAGGGCGCAUGGUGAAUGCCUUGGUACUAGGAGCCGAUGAAGGACGGGACUAACACCGAUAUGCUUCGGGGAGCGGUAAGUACGCUUUGAUCCGGAGAUUUCCGAAUGGGGCAACCCAAUCAGCUUAGUCGCUGAUUACUUGACUAGUGAAUACAUAGCUAGCAAGAGGUAGACGCAGUGAACUGAAACAUCUUAGUAGCUGCAGGAAGAGAAAGAAACAUCGAUUCCCUGAGUAGCGGCGAGCGAAAAGGGAAGAGCCCAAACCAACAAGCUUGCUUGUUGGGGUUGUAGGACUGAACAUUAGAGUUACCAAAGUGCGACGUAGUCGCAACAGUUGGGAAGCUGUGCCAUAGAGGGUGAAAGCCCCGUAGACGAAACGUCACACUCUCUGUUCAGGAUCCUGAGUACGGCGGGACACGUGAAACCCCGUCGGAACCCCCCAGGACCCUCUCGCAAAGGCCAAUACU